rnacentral:rRNA from 1 species
GGAUAAUGUCUUCGGACCAAAGAUUUAUCGCCUUUAGAUGGGCCCGCGUUGGAUUAGCUAGUUGGUGGGGUAAAGGCCUACCAAGGCGACGAUCCAUAGCUGGUCUGAGAGGAUGAUCAGCCACACUGGGACUGAGACACGGCCCAGACUCCUACGGGAGGCAGCAGUGGGGAAUAUUGGACAAUGGGCGAAAGCCUGAUCCAGCAAUGCCGCGUGAGUGAUGAAGGCCUUAGGGUUGUAAAGCUCUUUUACUGGGGAUGAUAAUGACAGUACCCAGAGAAUAAGCUCCGGCUAACUCCGUGCCAGCAGCCGCGGUAAUACGGAGGGAGCUAGCGUUGUUCGGAAUUACUGGGCGUAAAGCGCACGUAGGCGGCUUUUUAAGUCAGGGGUGAAAUCCCGGGGCUCAACCCCGGAACUGCCCUUGAAACUGGGAAGCUAGAAUCUUGGAGAGGCGAGUGGAAUUCCGAGUGUAGAGGU